GUAAAAAGCAGGAACAGUGGAAUGUCAGCGAGCUGCAAUGCAGAGGGGAAGCUCCACCCCGUCGUUUGAUCUGAAGGCGUUUCAUCGCUUGGCGUGACUUCCUGCUCAGCGUCGGACUCAUCUCAGCAGACCACGACUUGGUACUCGUGCAGAUGUCGCAUUUCUUUUAUUUUUCACUCCAUGGCUGUUCCGUGUUGGAGAACGCAAAGCUGGAAGUGCAAGUAAAGAGGCUGUUGGACGAUGCAACACAACACAAAUCAACCAACUUUAUUCAUCCCACUGGAGACAAUCAGUGUUUGUCUGGAGCAGCUUGUUGAGCGCCAAACACAGUUACACGGCUUGGAGGACAAGGCAAUGACAUCAUCCAGGGUCUCGCUGUCGGUGGUCUGGAGAAACAAUUACAAAAUGCAGAAUAUAUAGAAAUAUAAGCUUUUUGUGAGUGGACGUGCUGG